rnacentral:lncRNA from 1 species
CCUAUUACAGCCGAACCUCUCUCUCUUUUUUAUAUUUUACGUCCCUUUCCAAUCAGGGAGAUAACUAAGUCAGUUCCAACCACGGACUGCACCCAUACCGGUGGAGGGGGCUCGGAUGGUUAUGGAUGGGGAUUGCCGAGCCGGCCCCAGAACUCUGAAAAAACUUCAGGCGUUUCCAGACCCGGGUCCUCCUGCGUGGCAUGCCGACAGCGUUACCACUCGGCCAGCCGGCCGCCAGUCGAACCUCUCAAUAGCGGACAUUGACGGGACUGAAUUUUGUCCAUUAUCGGCAGUGUCUUACGCAUUUGAAAAUACAAUGCAUUUUGCUUAGUUAUAAUUUUAUGUUCCCUUAAUAUUUUCUAU